GGACUAGAAGCUUUAGAGUUUUUCCAUUACGGGGAAAGGGUUGUUGGUCUU
rnacentral:tRNA from 1 species